rnacentral:rRNA from 1 species
CCCUAUGGGGUGCUUUUUUCCCGUCAAUACAUUUUUCCGGAUCAAACAUUUUCCUUGUCUGGCAGGGGCGAAGUUUAAGUGAAGAAAGAUAUAUCGAUAAUCUGUAUUUUAUAAAAUCCGGGAAUUAUGGCAGCAGCUGGUCAGGCAGCCGAUUGAUUUCACGGUCAAAUGCGAACAAUUCAGCACCAUCAAUUCUUCUCAGGAAGGAUACUCUAUAUCUUGCAUACCAGAACAAUGAGAGAAAAACCUGGGGUAUCUAUUUCAAAAAAGGCUCUAAUAUGGGAUCGACCUGGGAAGCAACCCCGGAACUCGUAUCUGACACCGAAUCAAACUGUUAUUCACCGAUCGUCCUGAAAUCAAAUCCAAAUGAAUUGGCGGGAGAGC